GACGGAGGGUGCUAGCGUUGUUCGGAAUGACUGGGCGUAAAGGGCGCGUAGGCGGUUUUAUCAGUCAGGCGUGAAAGCCCCGGGCUUAACCUGGGAACUGCGUUUGAUACUGUAGAACUUGAGAAUGGAAGAGGAAAGCGGAAUUCCUAGUGUAGAGGUGAAAUUCGUAGAUAUUAGGAGGAACACCAGAGGCGAAGGCGGCUUUCUGGUCCAUUACUGACGCUGAGGCGCGAAAGCGUGGGGAGCAAAC
rnacentral:rRNA from 1 species